ensembl:lncRNA LINC00393 long intergenic non-protein coding RNA 393
GUUUGGAGGUCAACUGCAGUGAGGUCUCUAUACCACAGAGUGGUGAGUCCCCAAGUCCCGGUGAACUUAGGAAAUGGGCAUUAUCCUCUGGAAGACGUUUAUAGAGGUGACUUUUUUGGUCUACUGUGUCUGCCAUUGAAGUUGAAGACAUACAAGGAGCACUUGACAACUUGAGAACUGCGUUCAAGGAAAGUCUUUAACAAUUCUCCUCCUCACCUCCACCCCUAGUCCUCACCUUCUCCAUCUCGGAAAUAGGAGGAGUCUGUUUCACUCAUUCACAGG